GGCUCAGGAUGAACGCUAGCUACAGGCUUAACACAUGCAAGUCGCGGGGCAUCAUGAAUUUAGCUUGCUAAGUUUGAUGGCGACCGGCGCACGGGUGAGUAACGCGUAUCCAACCUUCCUCUCUCCACGGGAUAGCCCGUCGAAAGGCGGAUUAAUACCGUAUGCUGUCACCAGAUGGCAUCAGAAAGUGACGAAAGGUUUGGCGGAGAGAGAUGGGGAUGCGUCCGAUUAGCUUGUUGGCGGGGUAACGGCCCACCAAGGCGACGAUCGGUAGGGGUUCUGAGAGGAAGGUCCCCCACAUUGGAACUGAGACACGGUCCAAACUCCUACGGGAGGCAGCAGUGAGGAAUAUUGGUCAAUGGACGGAAGUCUGAACCAGCCAAGUAGCGUGCAGGAUGACGGCCCUAUGGGUUGUAAACUGCUUUUAUGCGGGGAUAAAGUGGGCUACGUGUAGCCUAUUGCAGGUACCGCAUGAAUAAGGACCGGCUAAUUCCGUG
rnacentral:rRNA from 1 species